rnacentral:rRNA from 1 species
GGUGAACGCUGGCGGCGUGCCUAAUACAUGCGAGUCGAGCGAACAGAUGAGGAGCUUGCUCCUCUGACGUUAGCGGCGGACGGGUGAGUAACACGUGGAUAACCUACCUAUAAGACUGGGAUAACUUCGGGAAACCGGAGCUAAUACCGGAUAAUAUAUUGAACCGCAUGGUUCAAUAGUGAAAGACGGUUUUGCUGUCACUUAUAGAUGGAUCCGCGCCGCAUUAGCUAGUUGGUAAGGUAACGGCUUACCAAGGCAACGAUGCGUAGCCGACCUGAGAGGGUGAUCGGCCACACUGGAACUGAGACACGGUCCAGACUCCUACGGGAGGCAGCAGUAGGGAAUCUUCCGCAAUGGGCGAAAGCCUGACGGAGCAACGCCGCGUGAGUGAUGAAGGUCUUCGGAUCGUAAAACUCUGUUAUUAGGGAAGAACAAAUGUGUAAGUAACUAUGCACGUCUUGACGGUACCUAAUCAGAAAGCCACGGCUAACUACGUG